rnacentral:lncRNA from 1 species
CCCAACAAUUGUUGGUUCUUUGUGCAGCAGUUCUCAUUCUCCCACACAUGUGAACAUCUCCAGUGGGAUGGGAGCGGUUGCUUGGCAGGACAGCCCCUGUCACUCACUUCUAUUUGAAUAAGCCAGAUAUUUCUGACUGCCCACAAGUUCCAUAACUUGGAGCCUGGCACAGGAUAUUUUAAGAAGGGAUGUUGGCUCUCUCCACGUCCACAUUGCAGAGUCUGAAAAUCCUUGGUACCUUGUCAGGCUGAGUGUCCAUAAUCAGAAUGGUCUUGUAGCUUCUGAAAUGACAGUGAUAACUUACACUAAAGUAUUUAGGCCCUGUACCUGGCAAAUAGUAUGUCCCCAGGAAGUCCCCUCCCUCGUCUGCAGUAAUGGAGCAGCCAUGUAUGCUGGGUGUCUCUGUCUUAUCUACUAGAAUAGCAAGAAAAUCUACUACUUUCUCAUAGGGGAAGAAUUAACAGAAAAAAGUCUUUUGCUCCGUAGAAACAAAUUUUGUUACUAUUUAGCUUGUUAUUUUAUUACAUGGAACACAUAUAAAAUGAACAAAAUUUUUACUCCGUAUAACAUUUUGAUUCUCAUGGUUUAGAGUUAAUGGAAGUAUUUUGCAGUAAAGAAUUAGGAACACUAGAUGUCAGGAGAGAAGCAGAUAAUGUGAUGUUUAACAGGUUGAGCUUAUGUUCAGCCUUUUAGGAUAGUGGAUUUUAUUUAGCUUCUGAUUCUGUGGGUCUGCUGGGUGGCCCUUUAGUCUGGGCAGGUAGUGAGUACUACUCAUGUGCCCUGCCUGAGACCCAGGUCCUUCCAGAGCAAGCCUAUGAGGCACUGAAGGCAUUGAGAGAAGGUUAAGUCAAUUCUGCAUCUGUGAACUGUGUCUUUGUCCAGGAGUUGUGCCAGGUGGCUACUGUUGUCCUUUCAAAACAUUAAUAUAGAACUGAUUUGAUGAUUUUCUGCCAUGUGCUUUGAUUCCCUUCUCUUUAUCUUUUGUUUAUCUGCUUUAGGUUUUUGCUUAGUGGUGACCAUGAGGCUUACAUAGAACGUCUUCAUUUUGUAACAGUCUCUUUUAAGCCGAUAACUUUUUUUUUUGGUCUUUUGAGGGCUGCAUCCAUGGCAUAUGGAAGUUCUCAGGCUAGGUGAUGAAUCGGAGCUGUAGCUACUGGCCUACACAUCACAGCCACAGCAAUGCCAGAUCUGAGCCACACCUUUGACCUAUACUACAGCUCAUGGCAAUGCUGGAUACUUAACCCACUGAGCGAGGCCAGGGAUGGAACCCUCAUCUUCAUAGAUCCUAGUUGGGUUUGUUACCAGUGAGCUACAACAGGAACUCCUAAGCUUAUAACUUUAAACACAUACAAAAGCUGUACAUUUUUCCACUUCCCCUAAUAUUUUAUGCUUUUUUAUGUCACAAUUUAUAUCUUAUUAUAUUGUGUAUCCAUUAACAAAUUAUUGUAAUCAUUUUUAAUACCUUUGUCUUUUAACCUUUAUGCUAUUUAUAUAUGAUUUGCCCACUACCAUUACAAUAUUAGAGUAUUCCAAAUUAACUGUAUAUUUACUUUUACCAGUGAGUUUUAUACUUUUGUGUUUUUUCUAUGCCAUACUUUCAUAUGUUUUCAUGUUAUUUAUUACCAUCCUUUUAUUUCAGCUUGAAGAACUCCCUCUAAUAUUUCUUAUAAGACCUCUCUAGUUGUGAUGAAGUCCUUUAGCUUUUGUUUGUUUGAGAAAUGCUUUUUCUCUACUUUAAUUCUAAAGGGCAACUUUGCUAGAUAGAGCAUUCUUGGUUGGCAGCUUUUUUUCUUUCAGUGCUUUGAAUAUAUCAUCCCAGUUCCUUCUGGCCUACAAAGUUUCUGCUGAACAAUCUGCUUAUAGUCUUAUGGAGGUUCUUUUGUCAUAAGUUGUUUUUCUCGUGUGCUUUUAAAAUUCUUUUUGUCUUUGCCUUUUGAAAAUUCAUUUACACUGUGUCUUGUUGUGAGUCUCUUUGGAUUCAUCUUAUUUGAAGUCUAGAGCUUUCUUAAAUCUGGAUAUCCCUCUUUCCCCAUUUUAGGGAAGUUUUCAGCUGUUACUACUUUUCAAAAGUUUUCUGCUUCUUUGCUGUUAUCUUCUGCUUCUGCAACUCGUAGAAAGCAUAUAUUGGUCUCCUUGUUGGUGUUCCCUAAGUCCCUUAAGCUAUUUUUACUCUUUUUCAUUAAAGAAUUUUUUUUGUUCCUCUGAUUAGAUGAAUUCUACUGCCCUGUCCAAAGACAAAGUUCACUAAUCCUUUUUUCUGCUUUAUCUAAUCUAUGUUGAAUUUUAGUUCCAUUACUAUGCUCUUCUGCUCUAUGAUUUCCAUUUGGUACUUCAUUACAUUAUCUGUCUUGUUGAAAUUCUCACUUUGCUCAUUCAGUGCUCUCCUGACACCUGUGAGUAUCUUAUGUCCAUAUUCUGAACUCUAUUGGGUAAAUCACUUAUAUCUGUUAUAUUAAGAUAGGUUUUUUGAGAUUUAUUUUGUUCUGUUUUGAACGUAUUUCUGUUUCUUUAUUUUCUUUGACUGUCUGGGUUGGUUUUUGCACACUAGAUAAAGAAGUCACCUCUUCCAGACUUUUCCAACUGGUGUCACAUAGGAGCUGAAACUUGUCAGUCAACCUGGCCUGGGCUUCUGGUUGUUUCUCUGAUCUUUGCAAAUGUCUAAGCUGCUGUCUUUUUUUUCUUAGUGGCUUCCAGUAGUUGAGAGUGUGCUGAGACCCAUCAGCAUACCAGAGGGGAGGAUUGCAGUCAGCAUCUGUAAUGCAGACUGUCUAGAAAUCUGACCCUGAGGCAGUACCUGGGAAAGUACACAGUCAACCCUUCCAGGAGAAACUGGGAAGAGGCAGUUUUGCCUCCUCCCCUUGCUGACCCUGAAUGUAUCGCCACAGGGCAUGCUCCUGCAUCUAUUUAAAAACUGCUUCUUUGCUUACUAUAGUCCUUUGGGACUUGCAAGCAAAGCCCUGUUGUUGGUUUGCAGAGGUGGGACAGUUGAGGCCUAUCCCUUGGAUGACAGCCAUAAUGUUGGGGUGCUAGAUGCAUGGACAGCUCCUUCCAGGAAGAUACUGUAGACUUGGUUUUAUUGUUGGAGUGAGCUGGGGGGAGAAGGUGGGGGACUCACCCACCAGCUUACUUGGGCUCUAGGACAGAUCAUUUAGUACCUAGAUUCACAAUAAUUAGAAACAAGACCCACAGGGCAGCAGAUUGUAAAGGAUGCAGCUAAGUCCUUUCCAAAGAUGGAUGAUUUUGCCCUCCCCCUCUGCACUGAGCCCUAGGGGAUAGCCAAGUUGAGUGCACUUGUGCCCAUUAGCAGAGGCUUCUUUGUUUGAAGAGUACUCUAGGACUUGGGAUGCAAGCCCUGUUGGCUUUCAGAGAUAAGUGAUUUGGGAGCCUAUCUCUCAGGAGGCGGCCUUUAAAGCUGGGGCACUAAAUGUACAACCCAUACCUUUUGCUCCACAGGGAGCAUCUGGGAGUUGGGGUUUCCCUUCCAGUUGGGGUUUGGGGUUAUCGUAGGAGUGUGUCUCAGCCUCUUCUACCCAGUUUUUUUUUGUUGUUGUUUGCUUUUUAGGGCUGCCCUUGCAGCAUAUGGAAGUUCCCAGGCUAGGGGUCGAAUUGGAGCUGUAGCUGCAGGCCUAUGCCAUAGCCACGGAAACUUGGGAUCUGAGCCUCAUCUGUGACCUACAACCACAGUUCACGGCAAUGCCAGAUCCUUAACCCACUGAGCAAGGCCAGGGAUUGAAUCCUCAUCCUCAAGGAUCCUAGUCAGAUCAUUAACAGUGGAACCAAGAAGGGAACUCUGUCUCCUACCCAUUUUGAUGUGGGUAUUUUCUCUGUUAUCGUGUAGGAGUCACUUAGCUAGUGUCUGGAUUUCUCUCCAAGAGGGAUUUGUUCCUUGUGUAGCUGUGUGUUAGGUGUAUCUAUGGGAGGAGAGAAAUUCCAGAGCCUACUUAUGUUGCCUUCUUGGUCUAGACCUAGAUUUUUUUUUUUUUCCUUUUGAUGUUUGUCCCUUUCUUUAAGCCUAAAAAAUCCUUUCCUGUUUUUUGUUUUCUUUUCUUUUUGUCUUUUUAGGGCCACAUUUGUAGCAUAUAGAAGUUCCUGGGUUAGGAGUCAAAUCAGAGCUGUAGCUGCUGGCCUACACCACAGUUCAGGGCAAUGCUGGACCCUUAACCCAUUAUUGAGUGAGGGAAUGAACCUGAUUCCUCAUGGACGCUAGUUGAGUUCGUUAUUGCUGAGCCAUGAUGGGAACUCCUCCUUCCCUCUUUUUUGCUCUGUUUUCUUCUUUUUUUCCUCUUAUUUUCAUGGUACGUGUGACUGUAACAAUCAAAAUUGACUUUAGAGCAUGGUAUGGAGUUAGCAGCUCAUUUUUUCCUAUAUUUACAACCAGUUUUUCUAGCAUCACAUCAAAUAAUUGUCCUUCCCUACUUAUUUACAAUGCUGUCUAUAGAAUGUACUAAAUUAUUAUCAAUACUGUUUUGUAUUAUUUUGUUUCCUUAAUUUCUGCUUAUUCUUCUGCCAGUAGUACUAAUUAUAAUGGCUUUGUAAUAUAUUUUAAUGUAUGGCCAAUCCUUUAUUAUUUUUUUAAAAGAAUUUGUUUUAAUAUCCUUUCCCUUUUAUAUGUUAAAUGAAUUUGAGGAUUAUUUUGUUGAGUCCUCAAAACCUUCCCCCUUAUCAACAUGGAUUUUAUUGGAAAUAUAAGCCUAUAUUUUUCCUUG